rnacentral:rRNA from 1 species
AUGGCUUCCUCCACUGUCGCCUCCGCCCCCUUCCUCCCGUCGCUCCCCAGUCCAAAUCACAGGCGCCUCUCCCUCCGCUACCCCGCUCGCCGUCUCGGGGUGGCCGCAUCCGCGGCUCCUAAGGGCGCGGCGGCGUCGGAGGCGGCGAGGGAGCGCCGUCGUUUCCUGGAGCGCUACGGCCUCAACCCUGAUGACUUCGAGGAAGAUGCCGACCCGGAUCCCAGGGAAGAGAGGAGGAGGGAGAGGCGGAUGCGGCGGUCGGGUGGAGGGGAGGAGGCCGCUGUUGCUCCUGCCAGGCCGGUGGAGCGCCGGGAGACUCAUAAGAUGCUCCAGGUACUAGCUGGGAAGGUGCGCAGAAGAAAACUACUAUCACCAAAAGAUAGGAAUGUUCGUCCAAUGAUGGAAGUUGUCCGAGGAGCAGCCUUUGACAUUAUACAAUCAGCUGGUGGUUCUCCUGCUUCACUCAAACCUGGUCUGUGGUUAGACUUGUACAGCGGUACUGGAUCUGUAGGAAUUGAAGCUAUGAGCCGAGGCUGUUCACAGGCGCAUUUUGUUGAGUUGGACCCUUGGGUUAUUUCUGAGGUUCUUAAACCUAAUCUGGACUGUACUGGAUUUCUUGAUACUUCGCACAUACAUAUGCUCCGGGUCGAGAACUUCUUGGACAAUGCUGAAAAAUCUAAAGGUAGAUAUCCUUCUUUUGAUUAUAUUAGUGUAACACCGCCAUAUGUUGAGGUCAACUACAGUACACUACUCGAUCAGCUUGCAAGGUCCCCGUUGGUUGGAGAAGAUUGCUUCAUUCUAGUUGAGUACCCACUGAAAACAGAUAUGCCUGAAUCCUGCGGAAAGCUAAUAAAGAUAGCUGACAGGAAGUUUGGUCGGACAAACCUGCUGAUUUAUGGGCCAACCUGGUCAGAGAAAAAGAAAGGAAGGAUUCUGAGAUAA